AGCCAGCUAUUUGCACAGACCGCGGCAGGCCUGGUACAUUCCCGUCGUGGGGACGCCGAAAACGAGACACUAACAAUACGAUUAGUAUUGUGGAUGUAAAUAUAACGCAUCCAGAAGCAUUUCCGCCGACUCAGACAGAGGCAAUGAACCUAACAACGACUGAAGUACCACACGAGUCCACCACAGCAAUACCAUCUACAGAUGCUGAAGAGGUUCACGAACUGCUUACCGUCUACCUGUCUCGAUCCGACAUCCCUAAAGCAAACACCAAGAAUAGAGAGAAGCAACAGCCUGUUGCAGCGGCUAUGCAUAAGCGUCCGACAGUAUGUGUCGCCCAGGCUGGCUACUAUGCAAUCAUGACGCUUCUCAUCUUUCUCGUGUUCACGCU